UCCGCUGUGGCAGAGGCUGAAGGUGGUGGU
rnacentral:piRNA from 1 species